rnacentral:rRNA from 1 species
UACGUAGGGUGCGAGCGUUACUCGGAAUUAUUGGGCGUAAAGAGCGCGCAGGUGGUUGAUUAAGUCUGAUGUGAAAGCCCACGGCUUAACCGUGGAGGGUCAUUGGAAACUGGUCGACUUGAGUGCAGAAGAGGGAAGUGGAAUUCCAUGUGUAGCGGUGAAAUGCGUAGAGAUAUGGAGGAACACCAGUGGCGAAGGCAGCUUGCUGGGACGGUACUGACGCUGAGGCGCGAAAGCGUGGGGAGCAAACAGG